rnacentral:tRNA from 2 species
UCCUUCUUAGCUCAGUUGGUUAGAGCAUCUGACUGUUAAUCAGAGGGUCGCUGGUUCAAGUCCAGCAGAGGGAG